UCCUAGUUAACCUAGGCAGUCUCAUUAGAGUCCCCACCUUACGUGUUGGCAACUAAUGAUAAGGGUUGCGCUCGUUGCUGGACUUAACCAAACACCUCACGGCACGAGCUGACGACAGCCAUGCAGCACCUAUACAGAAGUCCUUACGGAAAAUACCAUUUCUGGUAUCGCCCUCUGCAUUUCGAGCCCAGGUAAGGUUCUUCGCGUUGCAUCGAAUUAAACCACAUGCUCCACUGCUUGUGCGGGCCCCCGUCAAUUCUUUUGAGUUUCACCCUUGCGAGCGUACUCCUCAGGCGGUGUACUUAACGCGUUAGCUCCGACACAGCCAGGGUUGAGCCUAGCUACAUCAAGUACACAUCGUUUACGACAAGGACUAC
rnacentral:misc_RNA from 1 species